rnacentral:rRNA from 1 species
UGGGGAAUAUUGCACAAUGGGCGCAAGCCUGAUGCAGCCAUGCCGCGUGUGUGAAGAAGGCCUUCGGGUUGUAAAGCACUUUCAGCGAGGAGGAAGGUGGUGAGCUUAAUACGCUCAUCAAUUGACGUUACUCGCAGAAGAAGCACCGGCUAACUCCGUGCCAGCAGCCGCGGUAAUACGGAGGGUGCAAGCGUUAAUCGGAAUUACUGGGCGUAAAGCGCACGCAGGCGGUUUGUUAAGUCAGAUGUGAAAUCCCCGGGCCCAACCUGGGAACUGCAUUUGAAACUGGCAAGCUAGAGUCUCGUAGAGGGGGGUAGAAUUCCAGGUGUAGCGGUGAAAUGCGUAGAGAUCUGGAGGAAUACCGGUGGCGAAGGCGGCCCCCUGGACGAAGACUGACGCUCAGGUGCGAAAGCGUGGGGCAGCAAACAGGAUUAGAUACCCUGGUAGUCCACGCUGUAAACGAUGUCGAUUUGGAGGUUGUGCCCUUGAGGCGUGGCUUCCGGAGCUAACGCGUUAAAUCGACCGCCUGGGGAGUACGGCCGCAAGGUUAAAACUUAAAGGAAUUGACGGGGUCUAGCUAUUUCCU